CUGCGGAACAUUCCCUCUGGCUUCCGGUCUUCGACCCUCCCAGCGGCUCUUCCCGUCUUUUAGUUUUGUGGCACUUCGAGUGUCCCGUGUCUGCCUCUAUUCUCUGUUCCUGCCCCCAACCAGGGCCUGUCAGGACCACUGCAUUGCCAGCCUCUGGGUCCCUGAGACCCUUUAACCUGUGAAGACGUCCAGGGUCACAGGUGAGGUUCUUGGGAGCCUGGCGUCUGGCCCGACCGCAAACCUAGGGCUUGCAGGCCAACCCCUGACCCCCUCUUCCUGAGCCUGACGUCUGACCUCUGAUCCCUGGCCACCGGCCCCGCCCCCUCCUGCAGUGACCUCACAAAGGUCACCAGCUUCUGCUCAGGCCUUGAGACCCUCCGCGGCCCUGCUGGCCCUGAUGGGUGCCGUCCCGGCUGGCCUGCGGGCCCUGCUGGUGCUCAGGGCAUCCACGUGGGCCUGUCUCCUGUGCUUCACGACUUACACGGAGCGCGUUGGCAUCUGUAGGCUGUUUGGGGCGCAGGGCCCCGAGAUUGACCAGUGCGAGGAAGCCUUCACUGCUGCCUUUCAGGGUCUCUCGGACAUGGAAAUCAAUUAUGAGGAGAGAAGCCACCUGCACGACACCUUCACCCAGAUGACGAUGUCCCUCCAGGAGGAGGCCGCUGCCCAGGGGUCCUUUGAGGUUGCCUUCCCUGCUGCUGCGGAAAAGAUGAAGAGGGCCAUCCUGCAGCUUAAAAAAGUCCAGCCCUGCGUCCCUCCCUGCGGGAUCCAGGAGGUCACCCGGAGCUUCCGCUGCACCGGGUGCUACUCCACCGUGUGCGAUCUCCCGCUGGACUGUCCAGUGCAGGACGUGACGGUGAGUCGUGGCGACCAGGCCCUGUUCUCCUGCGUGGUGGGCUUCCCGCUGCCGGAGGAGGAGACAACCUACUCCUGGAGCUUCGCGGGAGCUCCGGACUCGGGACGCGUCCUACUUCCGAGACUUGCCGCGGGCCCACGGGUACCUGGCGCGCAUCCGGCCGGUGCAGCCCACGCACCGCGGGACUUUCUGCUGCGUGAUCCUGCACGACCAGCGCCCCCUGGCGCGGCUGUACUUCUUCCUGAACGUGACCGGCCCGCCCCCGCGCGGGGAGACCCAGCUGCAGGUCACGUUCCGGGAAGUGCUGCGCUGGGCGCCGCGGGACGCGGAAAUGGUCGAGCCCUGGAGGCCCAGCCUGGGCGAGCUGCUGGCCCGGCCCGAUGCUCUGACGCUGGGCAACCUGGCCCUGCUGGCCGCUGUCAUCGCCUUAGCAUCCGCCUGUGCGACGGUGCUGGUGUGGUGUUGAAAGAUGGUCAUAUACCUAAGUGUUUUUGCAAACUGGUUCGUUUAAGUGAGCUCCCCAAACCUCCCAUGAGGAGUUUUGUAUUCCGAGGAAACGUUUGCACAAGAUAACUUGCCUGCCUGUAUGUAAGUGGGUUGCGUCAUUCAUUCACUCAUGCAUCAGCUUCAGCGCAGCCUCCUCAGGGACGGAGCAUGACUCAGCCGCAAGUCCAAGGAAUCUAUUCCUGAUCCCACCACCGACAUCUGCAUUUGAGAAAGUGGUUUGUCCUCUCAGAGUCUCUGCUUCCUUCUUCUGACACUUGGAGCAGUUACAGGAAAAGACACAAUAUCAGUGGACUGAUGGCCCCCAAAGAUACCUCCAAGUCCCGACGGCAAGAAGCUGUGGAUGCUGGUCUUGUCUGAAGAUGCCACCAAGCUAAGGACUCUGAGAUGAAUUUGUUCUAGAUUUAGAGAGGACCCUACAUGAAAUGACAGGUUUUCUCUGGGUGCAGAAGAGAAAAUGAUGCGGAGACAGAGGCAGAGAUUGGAGUGACACAGCCAAGGGUGUUUAUUUUGCAGUGCUUCCAUAGUAAUAGAGUACCACCAUCUGGGGAAUGUGCCACCAGCAACAGAAACACAUUUUCGCCCAGUCCUGGAUGCUGGAAAUCCAAGAUCAAGACUCAAACUCAAACAUCAGACCUUCCUGGUCUUAAAUUUGCUGGCCUUGCACCGGAACUACAUCAUCAACUGUCCUGGCUCUUGGAGCUCUGGACUUGAACUGGAAGUAAAUGUCAGCUCUGCUGGGUCUCCAGCUUGCCAGCUUAUCCUGCAAAACUUGGAACCUGUCAGCCUCCUUCAUCAUGUGUCCCAGUUCCUUGUAACAAACCUCUUUCUGUGCAGGAUGUAUAUACAUCCAGUAGACUGUGUUUCUCUGAAGCAUUCUACUACAGCAGACAAACUAGGAUGGAAAGAGAUGGAGCUCUGCCUCUUUCCCCCACCCCUGGCUCGAUGUGGACCUAUGUCUGCUUUGGGGCGCUCCUCCCAGUGUCAUACCUAUCUCUGGGUUCUGUAAACCAUUCCUUUUCCUGCCCCCUUAGGUUUAGGAAAGGUAAGAGCUCCACACCUGUGGUGGGCAGAGAAAUAAUCUUCUGAAAGAUGUCCACCCU